rnacentral:sRNA from 1 species
ACGCGCUGCUCGCUAGGCCGGUUCCUGCGCGCCGUCCGCACCCACCUGACGACUGCUCGCUACGUUUUGUUAGCC